AUCAUCAAGACCUGAAGCAGCCGCUAAUCAACCAUGGCUGCUACCAUCCUAGCCGAUGAUGAUGAUGAUGACAUAAACCCCUUCACAUCCAUAAUGCUGCUCGCCCCUACAUGCCAACCACCAAAACCAGAAUCAGAAGAAGACCACCAGAAUCAGAGCCCAUUAUCAUCAUCCAAAGCUGGAAUAACUAGUCAACAACUUCUUGACCAAAAUAACUACUACCUCCACUCUGUCAACUCCCACCUACUCAUCAGACAACUCCCUUCUCAAGGCCUCUCUUUUCAGCUCUGGCCUGCUGCAACCACUCUCGUCACCCUCCUUGAUACCCACUCCUCUCAAUCCACCAUCCCCAACCCACUUUCCACCUUAUUUAAAGCCCAAGAAGACCGUCCCCUCAACAUCCUGGAGCUGGGCUCUGGCACCGGUCUUGUUGGGAUUGCAGCUGCUGCUCUUCUCUCUGCUAAUGUCACUGUCACAGACCUCCCUCAUGUGCUAUGCAAUCUGCAUUUCAAUGUGGAGGCUAACUCCAAACUUCUUCAAGUCAACCAAGGUGCAAAAGUUAACAUAGCGGGGCUUUCCUGGGGAGUGGAUGAAGACAUGAAAGCUGUUGGGAAGGAGUAUGAUUUGAUACUGGGGUCUGAUGUAGUGUAUCAUGAUCACCUCUACAAGCCCUUGAUUAAGACCCUGAGGUUCUUCUUGUUGGGGAAUGAUGACGGCAGCAAGAAGAAAAGGGUUGCCUUUGUGAUGGCUCAUUUAAAGAGGUGGAAGAAGGAGUCUGCAUUUUUCAAGAUGGCUAGGAAGCUUUUCGAUGUUGACAUUAUACAUUCUGAUCCUCCUUCCCAUGGCGCUAGAGUUGGAGUAGUAGUGUACCGAAUGGUGGGGAAAUGUUUUCUCAGCGUCAAUUCUGUCCCUAGCUAAAUAUUUGAGCGAGGAAUUGAAGAGAACAUUCUUGAAAUUUUGAGAAAAUCUAGAAGUUUGUCAUGCAUCAAAAACUUUCCAGGGAAGAUUUUAAUAUCUUUGUUAAUGUAUUUUACUAAAUUGCAAUCACCAGGGUUUGAGUUCACUAACUUGUCCUUGAUCAAUUAGCGUCUCAGCAUAAACUUGAGCAGAAAUAAAACUUGCUUAACUAGAAUGUUGAAUGUUAUUAUUGUAAAACAAAUAGUUAGCACUUCUACCCGACCUCGUGACCAGAUCGUAUCAUGCCCUUAGCAAAACAAUGCACUCAAGAUUCAAAUACUGCAGUAUAACGCCAGAGAAUAUCGUUUUCCCAGGUACAAAUUUCUAUGAACAUUUGUCUGGCUAAAGCUUUCCAUGUUCUCUGAAUCCCAAGACGGAUGAAAGCGCACAAUUAAGACACCUAGAGGUUUGGAAGAGGAGCAGGAACAAUCAAUCGUUCUUGACAGUUCACGGUCAUGAUUUGGUCAAAAAAAUUUGUACGGUCCAGAUUUUAUCUUGUAUCUCAUUUUUAACAAUAUCUGUGGGACCUACAAAAAUUUAUUUUAGAAUUACACGUUGUUAAAAAUAAGUUACACGAUGUGCAAACAGAAUUACGCCGUGUACAAAAUGCACAUAACCUUCAGGAACGGUUGCUGUGAGGACUCGCAAAUUUCUUAUAUUUUUCUCAAAAAUGCCUUUUUAUUUAGAAAUUAUUCAUUUAUUAUAGCCCUACUACCUAAUCAUUCCCCAAUAAGUGCAAAUGAAUCUAGAAAGUAGGGUUUCACUUUUCGUUUUCAGUUGGAGCAAGUUAGGGUUUUCGCGAUUUUCCGAAGGAUGAUUUUUCGGUACGGAGCAAGGAUUCAAAUUUGGUGAUUAAGAGUGACUUUUAGGUGAGAAAUAAUAUGUGAUUAGGAACCAUGAUAAAAAGUUAGUGAUUGGGAAGAAAAAAUCCUAGUACGUGUGAUUUAAGAAAAAACGGUGCGAACCGACGUGUACCGCGCACUACCGAUUGAACGCACCACUGGACCACAACUUUCUUACCACGUGAGCUCAUUGAUAUUUGAGCAAAAUAACCCCUCAUUUCCAGCUGCCUUUGACCGAAAUUUGUGGCCACAAAUGCAAGGGAGAGAGAGAAAAAUUUGCAUGGCUUUGGUGGUGCCAAGUGUCACCACCUCAUGGCUCCUUGAUUAAUUUUUUUUUUCUUGCCUUUUUAUCCUUCAUUUCAGCCAUCUUUCUUCUUCAUUUUUUUCUGGUCUUGGCCGAGAGAGAGAGAGAGAGAAAACCCAAGAGAGAGUUCACCAUUUUUUCUUGAAAUCUAGUCACCAAGUGAGGAAACAAAGAAAGUAAACCGAUUAAAGUUAUCUUUGAGUGUUGGUUUAGUGAGGUGUUGGUGAAUUUUUGAAGGGGAAAGCUAGGGUUGCUCUUGGUAGACACUAAGCAAGGUAAGGAUGAUGAUUUUUCCAAUUCUUACUCUUAAUAUUGUUUAAAUUAGCUUAGUGGUGAAUAAUGGUUGUUAUCAUGUCUUGGGUGUUGUUUUUCCUUGUGGAUACAUGAAUUAGGGUUUGAUGAAUUGCUGCCAAACUUGAUGUAUGGUUAAUAUAUGUUGUAUCCAAGAUUGUAUAGGGGGCUUUGGUAGCAAGUGAAGCAAGAAAUGAAGAAAGUAACCAAAAAUUCCAGAUUUCUGGAAAAAAUUUCACCCUGUUCUGUCCGGUUCCAGUUUGUAUGGUUAGAGGCCGAAUUAGGCUUGUCAUAAAACAUGAAAGUUGUAGAGAAUAGUAUUUUAUAGUUGCCUACAAAAUUUCAGCUCAAUCAGAGCAACGUAGCCUGUGAAAAGACCAAAAUACCCUCGCUGCCCUAGAUUACAUUUCAGUGUUCCGCGUAGACAGUUCAGUCUUUUGGCUGUGUUUAUUCGCCAUAAUCCGUACGAAUUUAUCCAUUUUCCAAAACAUGAAAGUUUUAGUACUCUGUUUUAGCUUUUUAACGCCACCAAGAACACCUUAAACGGAUCUUGGUAGACUGAGAUAUGGCCAUUUGAAUGCAGUACGGUUAAAUAGCCGAUUAGUUGGAAUUAGGUUAUGUGAAUUGGGUAUUUGAUUAGGUUACACUGGAAAUUGGACUAAGUGAUCUUCAUGAACAUUGGAACCCUGUGUCUUAGCUUCGAAAGGGUACAAGUUGCACCUCAAUCCGAUAACUGUAGCCUCGGAUGUGCCCAUUCCGCAAGAGCCCGUCAAAACUGUCUUUUGUAAACUUCAUUUCCGCACUCGAUAUUAGCUUAAUUUUUGUUCUUGUCUUGUUUUGAGCCUACGGAAUGGCUAUUGAAAUAAAAUUGUGUUAUGGAUAACCUUGGAUUUGAUUGAGUAAGCAUGAAGCCAUAAAUGGCUGGAAAAUAGGAAAAUACAAAGGGCAUGCUGCCUAAAUUUUCGCUCGAGUACUAAGUUUCUAUUUGAACUGGUAUACUUACGUUUGGUCUAUGAAACCCUAGUCAUUUUUGUACACCGGUCCAAAUGUCCUCGUUUCACUUUAAAGUCUUUUUGUACGUUCUACUCAAUAAUUGUCGAGUUUCUUUGAUUGCACCUAAUUGUUGUGCUAGAUGAUCUGUAAUAUUCUUUCUCGUUUAAUUUAGGUUUUCUCGGUGACUGAGGAUAAUAUCCGGAAGGAUAUUUUACCCGUUGUUUUGCUUACAUAGGUGAGUGUUCCUUGUUUGCUAUAUUUUUCUUGACUUCAUGACUUGUGUUCUUGUUUGAUAAUGUGUUAAGUGCUUUCAAGGAUUUCCAAAACGAGUUUUCUAGGCGAACGUGUACUUUACCGCACUCGAGCAAAAUGAAACAUGAAAUUUUCAAUGAUUAAAUGUUGAAAUACUAGUUGCGCAUGAAUGUAAGCCUUUUUGGCUGAACUGGGCCCUUGCCCUUGUUGCCGAUCGACUCGAGCCAGAAGCGGACUCGGUCGGGCGAUUUGGUGACCUGGGUGAACGUUUGGUAUACUCGAGUAUUACCUUGUAGUCCGGCCACGUCCGGAUGGGUGGAGUCCGGUCAACGUCCGGAAGGGGAUGAAUGAACGAACGAAAGCACGAGGGUUUUACUUCCCAAAAAGGAAAUUUUCAAAUAAUUGGAGGAAUAAGGGAAAAUGUCAGGGGAACGAACGAACGAACGAAUAGUUCCAUGUGAGCUCGUAUCCUUUUAAUGAAUGUGUUACUAUCGCUUUCCAUUGUAAAAAUUUCUUGAAUUAUUGAUACUCCAUGUUUAACGUAUUGAAUUGACUAUCUGACUAUGUGUUCGGAACCUCACUGAGCUUUUAGCUCACCCCUUUAGUUUUGUUUUCCUUAACAGGGGACGGCGAGCAGGAUGAGAGCAUAGACUAGCCUAGUCUAGUUCUUUUGUUAUUCUUUGUAAUGGUUCUCGCCCUAGUGCUUGGCACGGGCUGGACGUAUGAAGGAUUGAGAACCUUUGUAUAUUCGAUCUUUAUACUCUCUUUUGGGAUGACAAUAUAUAUAAGUUCCGCUUUAAGUUUGGAUCGCUGCCCUAUUUAUUCUUGUGAUUUAUUCCGAUUUUAAUUGAGGACUGUAGUGAACGACUGAGUCCUGGCGAGAGCUGGGCAGGCGACCCGCCGAACCCUGGGGUACGCCCUAAGGGGAGGUGGGGCCGUCACAGUUGGUAUCAGAGCUUAGGUUUCAGAUCUCUGUAGUGUAUCCUAGGCUUGAAGUUUAGGAUGCCGGACUGUGGGAUUCGAUUUGACCUGAAAGUUAAGCGAUUGAGGGAGAAAACCUAUAGUUGCUUCGCGUGGUCUCUGCGCGGAGUGACCCUGGACUAAGUGGUGAAUAAGUAUGAGGGACUAAGUGAAGCUAUGAAUUGCGAAUGUUAUAGGCCUUAAAUAUUUCUCAUGGUAUCUGAGGACCAUAGAUAGGUAUGUCAGGCAGGAAUUCCGAUUGUAGAUUGUUUACUCUUGGGACUGCAGCUCCAGAUGUGAAUUAUCUUAUUUCGAAUUCUCGUGCCUGAGUACUCUAGAGUUGCGGCGCUGCUAAGGAUUUGAGACUUGCAUUUUGGGAACAUGAACAGGCUUUGUCUGACUAGAAUGAGCACAAGAGGUCAGGGACAUCUAGUUUGGAUAGUAAGUGACGUGAGAGACCGGACGGGCUGAUACUGGGACGACUUCACCUUUUCCUUUUGAUUUACCUGUAUAUUGUUACUACAUGACGUUAGUAUACCUGUGCGUACAUGGUUAUCUGUCCAACUUGAUAUGUAUUUGUGUAUUUGCUUAUCCGUCUUCUUGAUAUGGCGUGUUAUGUGCGUAUAUGUUUAUUUUUGUAUUUGGAAUGCUAGAAUUUGUUACUGUAGUCAAUUUACUGUGUUUAUUUACUUAAUUACCUUUUGGGGAAAAAGAAAAGAAAAGAGAGAGGGAAAACAUAUAUAUGGAUGGGAGGCGUAGUCGUGGACGUGGAGCUAGUCGUGGCCGUGGAGCUAGGCAAGCUCAAGAACCGAGAGAAGAAAGAGAAACAGUGGCCGAGCAAGAACAGGGACCGAGGGUUGAGGCUGGAGAUCAAAUGGCGACGGCGAUGAAACAAAUGACAAAUAUCCUGGCACGAAUGGUAGAUCAACAGGGUCAAAUGCCAGUGAAUCAACCCUGGAAUCCCGAGAUCGGAGAGGAUAAGGCUCUUGAGAGGUUCCAAAAGUUUCUACCUCCGAAAUUUCAAGGAGGGCCUGAUCCGGAUAUAGCUGAGCAGUAGUUGGAGGCAAUGAUUAAUAUCUUCGCGGCUUUGAAUUACACGGAGUAAAGAAAAGUAAAUUUUGCUGUAUUUCAAUUCGAAGGACCAGCCCGCGCGUGGUGGAAUGUAAUUAAGGCCAAGUGGGAAAGAGAACAGACGGUAUGGACAUGGGCGAACUUUGUAAGGGAAUUUAACGAAAAGUAUCUCCCACCUUUAGCCCAAGAAAGGAGAGAGGACGAAUUUAUUGGGUUGCGUCAGGGAACCCUAAGUGUGGCCGAAUAUGAGACCAAAUUUACUAGACUGUCUAAAUUCGCUUCUGAAUUGGUGGUUACAGAGCGACGGAGAAUAAGACGAUUUAUACAAGGACUAAAUUUGAAAAUCCAGGAGGCAUUACCGGCAGUUCAAGUUAAUACGUUUACAGAGGCUCUUGAGAAGGUCCAAAGAAUUGAGGAUGUGAAAGCCCAAGUAAAAGCCUUUCAAACGCGGAAAAGAGAUACAUCCAGCAGUAUACCUGAGGAAUCCAGAGAAAAGAUAACGCUCUCCAAAGUGCAAAAAGUUAACCAUUCACCCCGCCCACCUUGGACCUUAAGAGUAUUAGAUGAAAGGUCCAUGAAAGGAAGUCAGAUCGGAUCAAAGGACAUUUCUCGAGAAGAUCCAACAGUAGCUCCUCGAUUGGCCUGUGGAUACUGUGGAAAGGCAAAUCACACUGAGAAUGAUUGCUGGCGGAAAGGGGGAAAAUGUUUGAUUUGUGGGAGUAGCAAUCAUCAACUUAGCAAUUGCCCGAAGAAACAGCCACGAGAGGGUAGUACUCAACAAGUGGAAGGAACCAAACUGAAACAAAUUCAUGAAAGAGGAAACCGAACAAAAGUAUCAACACAAGUUUAUGCUGUAGAUCAGCACCGAGUUCUGGGGUCCUCCGAGGCGACGAAAGGUAUGAAUUACGAGGUCGAAAUUCUUUUAAGGGGGAGAGAGUGUGAGGACUCGCAAAUUUCUCAUAUGUUUCUCAAAAAUGCCUUUUUAUUUAGAAAUUAUUCAUUUAUUAUAGCCCUACUACCCAAUCAUUCCCCAAUAAGUGCAAAUGAACCUAGAAAGUAGGGUUUCACUUUUCGUUUUCAGUUGGAGCAAGUUAGGGUUUUCGCGAUUUUUCGAAGGAUGAUUUUUCGGUACGGAGCAAGGAUUUAAAUUUGGUGAUUGAAAGUGACUUUAAGGUGAGAAAUAAUAUGUGAUUAAGAACCAUGACAAAAAGUUAGUGAUUGGGAAGAAAAAACCCUAGUACGUGUGAUUUAAGGAAAAACGGUGCGAACCGACGUGUACCGCGCACUACCGAUUGAACGCACCACUGGACCACAACUUUCUUACCACAUGAGCUCAUUGAUAUUUGAGCAAAAUAUCCCCUCAUUUCCAGCUGCCUUUGACCAAAAUUUGUGGCCAAAAAUGCAAGGGAGAGAGAGAAAAAUUUGCAUGGCUUUGGUGGUGCCAAGUGUCACCACCUCAUGGCUCCUUGAUUAAUUUUUUUUCUUGCCUUUUUAUCCUUCGUUUCAGCCAUCUUUCUUCUUCAUUUUUUUCUGGUCUUGGCCGAGAGAGAGAGAGAGAAAAAACCCAAGAGAGAGUUCACCAUUUUUUCUUGAAAUCUAGUCACCAAGUGAGGAAACAAAGAAAGUAAACCGAUUAAAGUUAUCUUUGAGUGUUGGUUUAGUGAGGUGUUGGUGAAUUUUUGAAAGGGAAAGCUAGGGUUGCUCUUGGUAGACACUAAGCAAGGUAAGGAUGAUGAUUUUCCCAAUUCUUACUCUUAAUCUUGUUUAAAUUAGCUUAGCAUCUCAAAUUUGUGGUGAAUAAUGAUUGUUAUCAUGUCUUGGGUGUUGUUUUUCCUUGUGGAUACAUGAAUUAGGGUUUGAUGAAUUGCUGCCAAACUUGAUGUAUGGUUAAUAUAUAUUGUAUCCAAGAUUGUAUAGGGGGCUUUGGUAGCAAGUGAAGCAAGAAAUGAAGAAAGUUAUCAUUGAAACAAAAAAUUCCAGAUUUCUGGAAAAAAUUUCACCCUGUUCUGUCCGGUUCCAGUUCGUGUGGUUAGAGGCCGAAUUAGGCUUUUCAUAAAACAUGAAAGUUGUAUAGAAUAGUAUUUUAUAGUUGCCUACAAAAUUUUAGCUCAAUCGGAGCAAUGUAACCUGUGAAAAGACCAAAAUACCCUCGCUGCCCUAGAUUACAUUUCAGUGUUCCGCGUAGACAGUUCAGUCUUUUGGCUGUGUUUAUUCGCCAUAAUCCGUACGAAUUUAGCCAUUUUCCAAAACAUGAAAGUUUUAGUACUCUGUUUUAGCUUUAUAAUUCCACCAAGAACACCUUAAACGGAUCUUGGUAGACUGAGAUAUGGCCAUUUGAAUGCAGUACGGUUAAAUAGCCGAUUAGUUGGAAUUAGGUUAUGUGAAUUGGGAAUUUGAUUAGGUUACACUGGAAAUUGGACUAAGUGAUCUUCACGAACAUUGGAUCCCUGUGUCUUAGCUUCGAAAGGGUAUAAGUUUCACCUCAAUCCGAUAAGUGUAGCCUCGGAUGUGCCCAUUCCGCAAGAGCCCGUCAAAACUGUCUUUUGUAAACUUCAUUUCCGCACUCGAUAUUAGCUUAAUUUUUGUUCUUGUCUUGUUUUGAGCCUACGGAAUGGCUAUUGAAAUAAAAUUGUGUUAUGGAUAACCUUGGGUUUGAUUGAGUAAGGAUGAAGCCAUAAAUGGCUGGAAAAUAGGAAAAUACAAAGGGCAUGCUGCCCAAAUUUUUGCUCGAGGACUAAGUUUCUAUUUGAACUGGUAUACUUACGUUUGGUCUAUGAAACCCUAGUUAUUUUUGUCCACGGGUCCAAAUGUGCUCGUUUCACUUUAAAGUCUUUUUGUACGUUCUACUCAAUAAUUGUCGAGUUUCUUUGAUUGCACCUAAUUGUUGUGCUAGAUGAUCUGUACUAUUCUUUCUCGUUUAAUUUAGGUUUUCUCGGUGACUGAGGAUAAUAUCCGGAAGGAUAUUUUACCCGUUGUUUUGCGUACAUAGGUGAGUGUUCCUUGUUUGCUAUAUUUUUCUUGACUUCAUGACUUGUGUUCUUGUUUGAUAAUGUGUUAAGUGCUUUCAAGGAUUUUCAAAAUGAGUUUUCUAGGCUAGCGUGUACUUUACUGCGCUCGAGCUAAAUGAAACAUGAAAUUUUCAAUGAUUAAAUGUUGAAAUACUAGUUGCGCAUGAAUGUAAGCCUUUUUGGCUGAACUGGGCCCUUGCCCUUGUUGCCGAUCGACUCGAGCCAGAAGCGGACUCGGUCGGGCGAUUUGGUGACCUGGGUGAACGUUUGGUAUACUUGAGUAUUACCUUGUAGUCCGGCCACGUCCGGAUGGGUGGAGUCCGGCCAACGUCCGGAUGGGUGGAGUCCGGUCAACGUCCGGAAGGGGAUGAAUGAACGAACGAAAGCACGAGGGUUUUACUUCUCAAAAAGGAAAUUUUCAAAUAAUUGGAGGAAUAAGGGAAAAUGUCAGGGGAACGAACGAACGAACGAAUAGCUCCAUAUGAGCUCGUAUCCUUUUAAUGAAUGUGUUACUAUCGCUUUCCAUUGUAAAAAUUUCUUGAAUUAUUGAUACUCCAUGUUUAACGUAUUGAAUUGACUAUCUGACUAUGUGUUCGGAACCUCACUGAGCUUUUAGCUCACCCCUUUAGUUUUGUUUUCCUUAACAGGGGACGGCGAGCAGAAUGAGAGCAUAGACUAGCCUAGUCUAGUUCUUUUGUUAUUCUUUGUAAUGGUUCUCGCCCUAGUGCUUGGCACGGGCUGGACGUUUGAAGGAUUGAGAACCUUUGUAUAUUCGAUCUUUAUACUCCCUUUUGGGAUGACAAUAUAUAUACGUUUCGCUUUAAGUGUGGAUCGCUGCCCUAUUUAUUCUUGUGAUUUAUUCCGAUUUUAAUUGAGGAUUGUAGUGAACGACUGAGUCCCGGCGAGAGCUGGGCAGGCGAUCCGCCGAACCCUGGGGUACGCCCUAGGGGGAGGUGGGGUCGUCACAGUUGCUCCUGCAACGGUUCCUGCCCUCGGUCCCUAGAGGUUUACACUGGUCAGUAGAGCCAACCCGCUAAAAAAAAAAAAGAAAAAAAAUCUUGUGCCAAUGAUAUUUAUCCAAGACAGUGCAUGCAGCUCAAUCAAGCAUUUGGAUGCGAGAGGCAAUAUCUUGGACCAACCAAUCAAAUCCGUCAUGUAAUCCCUCUCCAGUGUAUGCACUACAUCCAACAAUUCUCCAGCGUCGACUUUUCUCCAUGGCUUCUAAAUUGGGUACCUAUUCUAGCAAAAAGGAGCCUGAUCUCAUGGCCUUCAACCUAUUUCAUCUGAAGAGAGAGAAAACAUUGUAUAUCCUGCAUGUUAGCAAAAAUCAACAUUGAUGCUCCUGACACCUCUGUCAUUUCACAUCAAGAAAGUAAAGUGGAGAGAGAGAGAGAGAGAUAUUGUUACAAAUGCAAAAAACUCAAAAACAACCUAAACAUUUUUUUUAAAAUAUGGAAAACUAAGGCUGUUUUAUGGACCAGUGACAUUAGACUCCAUUGUUCGCAUAGGAUUUUAAUGGGUAUACAUAGGGAAAGGGACAAACUUGACUUUCCCAUUUUUUGUUUGGUAACUAAGAAAUGAGAUAAUCAAAUUGAUAUGCCCAUGUACCAAAUGGAGAGAAACUAUUAAGAUUGUGAAACUAGGACUUGAAGGCUAUGAGGCCACCAUGGAAUGGCACUUUGUGUCUUCUACUUCAAUAUGAAUGUUUAGGUCUUAGGGACAGCCCCUAAUUUGUCAAGAUCCUGGCUUCAGCAUUAGGGAUUUAACACUCGAAUUUGGGAAAAAUCAGAGUACGGACGAAGAGAGAGAGAGCGAGAGAGAAAAGAAGUAGAAAGAGAGAGUAAGAAUUAGAGAGAAAAAGAAUGAAAUUCUGUUAUUGUUCGUGCAUGUGAAUUCUGCCAAUCGAUCCCAUACAAAUAAGAAUGGCUAAUCGACUUUAACUAAUUCCAACUGAAUCUGUUAUGCAUGGGAACGACACCGUUCCACUUAUUCUAAUUUCUACUGAUUUAUUUGGUCGUAAAACGACACCGUUCCACUUAUUCUGCUUCCUACUGAUUUGUUUGAUUAGUUACAUAAAACGACACCGAAUGCUGACUUAAUUUCUUCAUCCUGACAUUGCCCUCCCCUUUUAACAGUCUUGUCCUCAAGAAUGAAACCAAGGAAAUUGUGCUUGUAUGAAGUCCUUAUCUUCCCAUGAAGCUUCUUCCUUAUCCAGCUGGUACCAUUUGAUCAAGUAUUGUAUCACUGACUGUCCAUUCCGCAUGAUCACUCUCCUCUAUAAAAUGGAUUCUGGUUGUAGAGGACACUGGUCAUCAUUGUCAAUCUCAGGCAGGGUAGCUGAAAUGGGCUGUAGAGGUCUAAUUUUCUUUUUAAGCAACAAAACAUGGAAUACUGGAUGAAUCCUUACCCCAGUAGGUAAUGUGAGACGAUAGGCAACUGGCCCUACUUUGGCUUCGACCUGGAAGGGACCAUAGAACCUUGCAAACAGUUUGAGGCACUUCCUGAUAGCCACUGAUUGCUAUUUAUAAGGUUGCAGUUUCAGGAAGACCCAAUCACCAACCUCAAAAGUUCUUUCAGUGCGUUUUUGGUCAGCGAAAAACUUCAUCCUUUGUUGUGCCUUUAUUAGGUGAUCUUUGAUUCUGCUAGAGAUCCUCAAUCUCUCCUGGAGUAAUUGGGAAACUGCUGGUAUGAUUGUGUCAAAAUGAGGUCCUAAAGGCAAGGGAAUAGGCUGGUAUCCAUAUAAGGCUUCGAUUGGAGUCAUUUGUAGACUGGAGUGACAAGAGGAGUUAUACCACCACUCUGCCGGUGCUAGCCACCUGCUUUAGUUAUGGGGAAAUUCCCUAGUCAUGCAUCUUAGGCAAGCUUCGACACAUUGGUUGAGUCAUUCACUUUGUUCAUCUGAUUGGGAGUGGUAGGCAGAGCUGUAACUCAACUCUAUCCCUAAUAGCUUGAAGAGCUCCUGCCAGAAAGUACUUAUGAAUAUCCUGUCUCUGUCAGACACUAUGGAUUCUGGGAGGCCAUGCAAUCUGAAUAUGUGAUCCAGGAAAAGUUGAGCCACUUGCUUGGCAGUGAAUGGAUGACCUAAGGCAAGGAAAUGCCCUACCUUGGUGAAUCUGUCAAUUACCACCAUCACUGUAUCGUAGCCUUAUGAUUCUGGUAGACUCUCUAUGAAGUCCAUAGUCACAUGAGUCCAAACCAGGCAGGGAACAGGUAAUGGUUGUAAUAGGCCAGGGUAGUGUACAUGCUCAGAUUUGAACCUCUGACAUGUAUCACAGGCUUGAAUGAUUCUGAUGACAUCCUGCUUCAUAGUAGGCCAAUAGAAUAAAGUUUUUAGCCUUUGCCAGCAGCCUCUUUGUCCUGAGUGACCCCCAACUGCUGAUGCAUGGAGUGUUUGGAUGAGCUUAUCCCUCAAUCCACUGGUUGAGCCUACAUAAAGUUUGCCAUUGUACUUCAGUAAUCCUUUGUCCCACUCAAAUUGUUGGUGAGCCGCAGGGUCCAGCAGUAGUUGAGAAAUAAUGUCCUGGCACUGAGGGUCUAAGUCAUAGCUCUUCUGGAGUUCUUUAUCCAUAGUGGCUUGACAGUAGAAAGGGCCAAACAGGAUCCUUGUUGAGCUGAUUAUUCCUGAUUUACCCCAUGUAGUCUUGACAGUGCAUCUGCUACUUUGUUUUCUGCUCCCUUUUUGUACUGAAUUUCAUAGUCCAGCCCCAGUAAUUUAGCUAACCAUUUGUGUUGUAAUGUAGUGGUGAGUUUCUGAUCUAACAAGUACUUCAGAGAUUGGUGAUCUGUCUUAAUAACAAAAUGAUGUCCUACCAGUAAUGCCUCCACUUGGUCACUGCCAUUACUAGUGCUAGCAGUUCUUUCUCAUAAGCUGACAGCCUCAAAUUCCUAGGUGACAAGGCCUUGCUUAGGAAUGCAAUGGGGAUGGCCUUCUUGCAUUAGUACUGCACCAAUUCCACUUCCACUAGCAUCAGUUUCAAUAGUGAAGUGUUUCUGGAAGUUUGGCAGUUUAAGAACUGGAGCAGUGCUUAUAAUAUGUUUUAGUGAUGUAAAAGCCUUCUGUGCUUCAUUACUCCAAUAGAAAUUGUCCUUCUUAAGCAGCUCAGUAAGAGGUUUACAGAUGAUUCCAUAAUGCUUGAUAAACCUCCUGUAGUAACCAGUUAACCCCAGAAAAUCUCUCAACUCUUUAAUUGUACUAGGAACAGGCCAGUUCAUGAUGCUUUCAACCUUGGACUGAUCCAUGUACACUCCAUUCUCAGAUAUGGUAUGACCAAGAUAGUCCACAGUUUGUUGUGCAAAUGAGCAUUUAGAUCUCUUAGCAAAUAGUUUGUGUUCCCUUAAGACAACCAGCACUGUUCUCAAAUGAUCUAGGUGUGAUUCUAACGUGGGGCUGUAUAUUAAGAUGUCAUCAAAGAAAACCAACACGAACUUCCUUAAGUAAGGUUGAAAUACUUGAUUCAUAAGAGCCUGAAAGGUUGCUAGUGCGUUGGUCAGCCCAAAGGGCAUUACUAGAAAUUCAUAAUGGCCACAAUGAGUUUGGAAAACAGUUUUGUAAGUGUCCUUGGGUUUGACUCUGAUAUAAUAGUAGCCAGAAGUGAGAUCCAGUUUGGUUUUGUACCUUGAUCCUGCCAAUUCAUUGAUCAGCUCAUCUACAUUUGGAAUAGGAUAUCGAUCUUUGAUGGUCAUCUCAUUCAGAUGCCUGUAAUCCACACAAAAGCGCCAUGUACCUUCCUUCUUUUUAACCAACAGAACUGGUGAGGCAAAAGGACUGUUGCUGUGGAUGAUUAUUCCAUGCUGUAACAUGUCUGUAACCUACUUUUCUAUUUCACCCUUCUGAGAGUCAGGAUAUCUGUAUGGCUUCAUUUUAAAAGCCUGAGACCCCUGUUUUAAAGGAAUUUCAUGAUCUAUUUCCCUGGUAGGAAGCUCAGAAGGAGCCUCAAAAACAUCAGCAAAUUCCUCAAUGAUGCCUUGAACCUCAAUAGGCAUAUCCCUCUUCUCUGAUUGAUUAUCCUGUCCCAUCCUCAUAGCCAGGGACAUCUGCUUCUUAUAUUCAAUAAAGUUCCUCAAAUCACUCCCCCUAAUAAGAUCCAAGUCACAGUUCUCAGCUUGUCCCCUUAACUGUACCACUUCCACUUGAUUGUACAAGGAGAUUCUCAACUGGUGAAAAUCAAAAGUAAUGGGGCUAAAACGAGUCAUCCAGUCUACUCCCAAUAUGAUAUCCCAGUCACUGAGGUCUAUUACUUUCAAGUCAUAGCAGAAUUUAUGCUGAUUGAUCUCCCAUACCACUUUAGGACAUAUGGCUUUACUGGCUACACAAGCUCCAUUUCCUACUAUUACAGAAAAAGGAUCAACUAGUUGAUAUGGAACGUCAAAGGCAAUUACCUUUUCACUGCUGAUAUGGCUAUCUGAGCUCCCAGUGUCAACCAAUAUUAACAUCUCUUCCCCAUCCAGUUUCCCUAUCAGUGUUAUUGUUUUCCUCUGCAGAGCCUCUGGCAAGGUAUGUAGAGACAUUUCCAUGACUUGUCCAGGAUUGCCUGUAGCUCCAUCUUGUUCCCCUAAUGCAUCCUCAAACUCAGAAUCUUCUUCCUCCUCAGUGAUCAGAAGAUUCAAGUGGCCUAACUUACACUGGUGACCCUGUCCAAAUUUUUUUCCACAUUUGAAACAAAGUCCAUUGUUUCUCCUAUACUGUAAUUCUUGAGCUGAUAGUCUUUUAGGUUCUGCAUCUGCGGUAGAAAUUGGUUUCCCUUUGAAUGAGGUAUUCCUGAAGGUGCUAGUAGAAGGCACCUUAUAGUGGGAACUAUGGAUCUGUUGUUGGGAAGAACUCCUGGAGAUUCCAAACUUGUUUUCAGGUACAGUUUUCCAGCUUCUGACUUGAAGUUUCAGUGCAUCUUCUUGCAGUGUAGCCAUUUCAAAAGCUUCUGACAAGGUUGCAGGUUUCAACAUUCUUAUCAUUGUUUUGAUCUCGUCCUUAAGUCCACUGAUGAAGCUAGAUACAAAAUAUUCCUCACCUAGGUAGGGAUUCUUAAUCAUCAUAAAGGUUUUGAGUUCUUCAAACUUUUCCUGGUAUUCUUCCACCUGCCCUACUUGUUGCAGUUUAUUGAAUUCUUCCACCACAUCCCUGCCAAUCUUAUUAUCAAACCUUUUAUACAGCAGUUCUUCGAAGGUUCCCUAUGUUAGACCUAGUUUUUCUAAUUUUACUCCCUGGAACCAAUUGUCCACCCUCCCUUCUAAGUACAUUUCUAUGACUUCCAUCUUAUGAUCCUCCAAUGUCUUAAAUCUGGUGCUUUCUACCAUGGAAUUUGACUUCUUCCACGGAUCCGACCGGCUCUGAUACCA
rnacentral:lncRNA from 1 species